rnacentral:rRNA from 1 species
UACGGAGGGGGCGAGCGUUGUCCGAAGUUACUGGGCGUAAAGCGCGCGUAGGCGGGGAACCAAGUCCGCUGUGAAAGCCCGAGGCUUAACCUCGGCGGGUCGGUGGAUACUGGUUCUCUUGAAGGUGCUAGGGGGAGAUGGAAUUACCGGUGUAGCGGUGAAAUGCGUAGAUAUCGGUAGGAACACCAGUGGCGAAGGCGGGUCUCUGGGCAACUACUGACGCUGAGGAGCGAAAGCGUGGGGAGCGAACAGG